rnacentral:rRNA from 1 species
AACGGCCGUACCAUGCUGAAUAUACCGGUUCUCGUUAGAUCACCGAAGUUAAGCAUCAUUGGGCGCGAUCAGUACUUGGGUGUGACCACCUGGGAACACUGCGUGCCGUU